rnacentral:rRNA from 1 species
AAAUUGAAGAGUUUGAUCAUGGCUCAGAUUGAACGCUGGCGGCAGGCCUAACACAUGCAAGUCGAACGGUAACAGGAAGAAGCUUGCUUCUUUGCUGACGAGUGGCGGACGGGUGAGUAAUGUCUGGGAAACUGCCUGAUGGAGGGGGAUAACUACUGGAAACGGUAGCUAAUACCGCAUAAUGUCGCAAGACCAAAGAGGGGGACCUUCGGGCCUCUUGCCAUCGGAUGUGCCCAGAUGGGAUUAGCUUGUUGGUGGGGUAACGGCUCACCAAGGCGACGAUCCCUAGCUGGUCUGAGAGGAUGACCAGCCACACUGGAACUGAGACACGGUCCAGACUCCUACGGGAGGCAGCAGUGGGGAAUAUUGCACAAUGGGCGCAAGCCUGAUGCAGCCAUGCCGCGUGUAUGAAGAAGGCCUUCGGGUUGUAAAGUACUUUCAGCGGGGAGGAAGGGAGUAAAGUUAAUACCUUUGCUCAUUGACGUUACCCGCAGAAGAAGCACCGGCUAACUCCGUGCCAGCAGCCGCGGUAAUACGGAGGGUGCAAGCGUUAAUCGGAAUUACUGGGCGUAAAGCGCACGCAGGCGGUUUGUUAAGUCAGAUGUGAAAUCCCCGGGCUCAACCUGGGAACUGCAUCUGAUACUGGCAAGCUUGAGUCUCGUAGAGGGGGGUAGAAUUCCAGGUGUAGCGGUGAAAUGCGUAGAGAUCUGGAGGAAUACCGGUGGCGAAGGCGGCCCCCUGGACGAAGACUGACGCUCAGGUGCGAAAGCGUGGGGAGCAAACAGGAUUAGAUACCCUGGUAGUCCACGCCGUAAACGAUGUCGACUUGGAGGUUGUGCCCUUGAGGCGUGGCUUCCGGAGCUAACGCGUUAAGUCGACCGCCUGGGGAGUACGGCCGCAAGGUUAAAACUCAAAUGAAUUGACGGGGGCCCGCACAAGCGGUGGAGCAUGUGGUUUAAUUCGAUGCAACGCGAAGAACCUUACCUGGUCUUGACAUCCACGGAAGUUUUCAGAGAUGAGAAUGUGCCUUCGGGAACCGUGAGACAGGUGCUGCAUGGCUGUCGUCAGCUCGUGUUGUGAAAUGUUGGGUUAAGUCCCGCAACGAGCGCAACCCUUAUCCUUUGUUGCCAGCGGUCCGGCCGGGAACUCAAAGGAGACUGCCAGUGAUAAACUGGAGGAAGGUGGGGAUGACGUCAAGUCAUCAUGGCCCUUACGACCAGGGCUACACACGUGCUACAAUGGCGCAUACAAAGAGAAGCGACCUCGCGAGAGCAAGCGGACCUCAUAAAGUGCGUCGUAGUCCGGAUUGGAGUCUGCAACUCGACUCCAUGAAGUCGGAAUCGCUAGUAAUCGUGGAUCAGAAUGCCACGGUGAAUACGUUCCCGGGCCUUGUACACACCGCCCGUCACACCAUGGGAGUGGGUUGCAAAAGAAGUAGGUAGCUUAACCUUCGGGAGGGCGCUUACCACUUUGUGAUUCAUGACUGGGGUGAAGUCGUAACAAGGUAACCGUAGGGGAACCUGCGGUUGGAUCACCUCCUUA